rnacentral:rRNA from 1 species
ACUCCUACGGGAGGCAGCAGUGGGGAAUAUUGCACAAUGGGCGAAAGCCUGAUGCAGCCAUGCCGCGUGUGUGAAGAAGGCCUCGGUUGUAAGACACUUCUAGCGAGGAGGAAAGGUUAGACGGUUAAGUAACCGUCCAGCUGUGACGUUACUCGCAGAAGAAGACACCGGCUAACUCCGUGCCAGCAGCCGCGGUAAUACGGAGGUGCGAGCGUAAUCGAAUUACUGGCGUAAGACGCAUGCAGGCGGCCAAGUCAGUCAGAUGUGAAAGCCCGGGCUUAACCUGGGAAUUGCAUUUGAAACUGCUUGGCUAGAGUCCUUGAGAGGGGGUAGGAAUUUCAGGUGUAGCGGUGAAAUGCGUAGAGAUCUGAAGGAAUACCAGUGCGAAGGCGGCCCCCUGGCAAGAGACUGACGCUCAGAUGCGAAAGCGUGGGGAGCAAACAGGAUUAGAUACCCUGGUAGGAUAGCG